GCCGGGGUGGUGGAACGGCAGACACAACGGACUUAAAAUCCGUCGGCCCGAGGCCGUGAGGGUUCGAAUCCCUCUCCCGGCA
rnacentral:tRNA from 1 species